rnacentral:lncRNA from 1 species
AUGGCCAUCCUGCCCAGCAGCAACCUCAAGUUCUGUGUGAGUGACGUAGGAACACUGAGCACACUGAUCACCCCAGGGACCACCAGCAGCACCACUGAACCAGCAGCAGGGACUUCUGGGAGAUCCGCUGACGCAGAAAGUGCUCCAGCAGACAAGCCAGAUGUGCUGGCUCCUGCCAUCUCUGCGAGAGGAGCGGCUGUGGAGCCGGAAAGGUUUGUAUCAGUCAAACCUGAAAUCCAGGUUGCGGUGGGACAACAUAACCACGAUCCAAGAGCUCAGAGGACUUACACAGAGGAGCUGCGCAGAGAGCCCAUCACUGAAAAGUACGUCCCGAACUGCUGCUUCUCAUAUUAACUCGCACAUGUAUCUCUACACACACUGAUGUUAUACAUUAGCACAAUCAUUCAUACACACACUCUUUUCCUCCUUUUCGAAUACAGCGUGAAUACAAAGUGUUGGUACUAUUCCAGUGAGUCCUCUUAACAUUUCAAACGGAGGCAGAAGUAUCUUUUAUGGUGCAAUUUAUGGUGCUUGCAUCCUGUGGUGUUGUUGAUAGCUGUGUAGACAAACUGCGGUGUUGUGUUGUGGUGUACGAGCCACUCCUCCACCGGGUUUUUACUGCGGUUGCCCUGAAUUAACCCAACACGCCCGUCAGAUACGAGCAACUGUAACUAGAAGUCUGUUCCACAACAUUGUGAAAUGUUAACACGAAACAUAAUUUACAAUACACUGUGAAACUAUACGAGUUUGUCUUUGACUCAUAUGUUUUGCUUACAUUAUUGCCUACACAGUAGAGAUAACAGCAAAAAACAUAAACAGAGCGGCACGUAUCAACACAAAUCACACCAAUUAUACAUUACACAUGCUGCACAUGCUGCACAUGUUACACAACCGGUGAUGAUAAGAACAGCUGAGCUGCGGCACAGUCCCUGCAGCCUCAAGCAGCAUUAUUUAAAAUCUUAAUUGAGGGAGACGCAAAUGAGUGUUAAUAAUGGUUAAGUUUACACUGGGGUGCUCUUUAUCUUCUGCUAGAUGGCAGGAACUCAUACCCUGCAUGUAGAAUAUGCGACGGGUCAGACAAUAUCUUCUGUGCUCGCCUGAGAACAGACUGUUCAUACAUUGACUGAAGGGACCGUAACCUUCGUGGCAGUCUGUACCAGACGAGCAAGCUUGUUUUUUAACCGUACAGUAAGAUUUCCGUACCAAUGCUGACAACUCACACCUAAUGAUUCUCUCUACCAGAACAUCUGUGCAAACCUGUGCAACAGUGCAAAAUGUUCUUUUUACACUUACUUUUUAUUGCAUUUUCUUGAUCACAUAAGAAAACAUUUACAACAAAACCCAACAAAUAAAAUAAAAACUCUGCUAAGGUUUAGAGAUGUUGACGUCUAUCCGCUUACAUUUUCAUUAUGAGUGUUGUUUUUCUUUAGAAUCUGUAAAUUGUACAUUUUUUGUUGGCAUUGAGCAUCUUGUAUUCUAACAGUAUCCGUUAUCUAAAUUACAAACAUUGCUUACACAGCAUUAACAAAAACUAUCUCUGUGUAGGGGAAUACUUACUAUACCAUUUUCUAGUAAGUCUACAUUUCCUUCUGCCAGAUUACCAAGGCACGAUGUACUGUACGAUUGCACAACCGCAGGGUACUUCAUACCCAAGAGAACCUUUCAAGACUUAACAGACUGUGUCCCAGAACAACUUGAUCUUUGAGCAGCUCUAAAACAUGCUAGUGUGUUCUGCAGCCAAAUGUCCGCAUAGCCGCCAGCACGGUUGCUGCGCGGCGAGAUGUCUACUCCUGACUCUUGGAGUGAUAAAAAAAAGACCAGUGAAAUUUUUCCACAUCUGUGAACUGGUGGACGUCAGUUGCCCUUUUGUACAUUUUGUACCAUGCGUCAUCUGAGAUUUUACAAUUCGGUUUAGUUUCCUAUUAAGCUUUCACUAACCGAUGUGAACAAGUUGAGACAAAUAAGGCACACUGGCACUUUAAAGUACAACUACAUCAAUUCUGCAUUGGAGAUCGCACCUAUGAAUAUCAAGCCAACAGACGCUACAGUCUAGUGUGUUUUGGACUUGAUGAACUCUUGUAUCUGUCCUCUCUGCACCUCAGGAGGAGUGUCGGGGUGGAGAAGGUGCCAGCAGGCGGGAGGAUCUCCUCCCUAA